GUUUAUUUAAAUGUGCAUUUAAAUAUGCGUUUUUUUGGCUUGGAUUUUAAUUAUCAUCAUGACAGAUUAUUGCAGAAAUGGAAUUGAACAUAUGCAUGAACACAUGUGAAAUUUGCACAGACCAUAAAUAGACCGAUCCAUCCAUCCUUAGUUGUAAGCAUCUAUUUGUGAAAAUUUAUUUUGCAGGCUACCUAGAAAGUCUGGAAAAUGUACUCCCUCCCCUUUGAUUUAUGUGUACUGGCUUGGUUGUUUUUCCCCAUGCCACCUGAUAUAUGAAAAUAAAAAGAGGGUUUUUUUUAAUUAAAUAUCAAAAGAUGGCUGGAAGGUGGAUAACUUUAUAUGGUACAAUAAUUGCUUAUUUGAAAAAUAUCCAGCUAGGGCUAGGAAUAAAAACCUUCAAACCCCCGUGUGUAAUCUGUGGGAUAUGACAUCACUGUAGCAGUCAAGUACAACAUUUCCUGUUUGCCCAGAGUGGACACACAGAGGGGUGUUACUCCAGGCAGCAGGACUUCCUGUCAGACCCGUCUGGAGCAUUCUCCCCCUGCGUGUGACCAGGGUGAUGGGUGUGACCCUGUGAGACCCUGUAAAGGGGCCAGUCACACAGCUAUCUUCCUCUCUUUUGCUGCUCUCUUCUGAUCUUGAUGUAUUUUGCUGUCUGCUGGCUCUCAGCCAGCAGCACAUGGGCUUAAUCCUCAUAUGGGAUUAACUCACACUCUCUUCUGUAACUACAAGCUAAAGCCUGCCUUCAGGAUCAUACUGGGAACUGAAUGUAAGUAAACUUCUUAUCAUUACUUUUAAAGAAGCCUGUUGUGUCUUUAUUGUUUUACGAGGGAAUAAAGGGGAAUUUACCAGGAACAAUCCAGUCUGGACAAGCCAGACUGGAUUGCUUAACUCAAGAGAUUCAAACGAAUCUACCAACUAGCUUCCUGCAAUAUACAGCGGAAUGUACUCUGCUACUGACUCACUAGCGUGAGUGAGGAAGGAUAAUAUUAAAUCAAUAUAUCCUCGCCUACUAUCCACAACAUUCCUACACAAUCACAAGGUGAAAAGGUAUCAGGAGAAGGUUCUUUCUGUCCAGCAUCAAGUAUUCAACUAAUGAUACUGUCAGCUACUUGUAAAAUUUUAGCCACUAAUUCUUAUAUGAAAUAGGCAAACCCUAAUAAUUUAUUUAUUUGUUUCAUAAAAUUUAUACACCGCUUGAGUGUUAAAAACCAACCAGCCAACCAACCCUCAAAAGGGUUUACAAAGCUAAAAGAAUAAAAUCAUGAAAAAUCCACAACUGUACUGUAAAGCAUACAAAACAGAUAAAAAUGACCUUGACUUUCUAAGCAUCUGGGUAGGCUUGUCUAAAGAGGAAUGUUUUUAGCAGGCGCUGAAAAAAGUGCAGUGAAGGCGCCUGCUUGGUCUCAAGAGGCAGGGAGUUCCAAGGUGAAGGGGUUCCAUACUAAAUUAUCAAUUAUUCUUAUUAUUUAUUAAAUUUGUAUACCGCCCUAUCCCCGCAGGUCUCAGGGCAGUUACAACAUAAAAUCACAAUAUAAAAACACAAAAUAACCAAUAAACCCUCAAACUCUUACAAAUGCUGAACGGGUAUUCUGUGGCAUGAGAAACUUGCUCUUCUUGUGCAUUUCCCUUUAUUUGGCUACACAAAUAAAAACAUUAAGUUAGGCAGAUAAAAAAUAAAGUAUGCUAGCUGAAAGCUUGCUUUUAAUAAAGACAUGGAAUAAAUGACAUCCCACAUCAUGGAUAAAGGUGUCUGGUGACAGAUGUUGCAUGGAGCGUGGGGAGGUGGGGGAGGGGCAGGCAAUGGACCAAAUUGAAAUAAUCUGCAGGAGAAUCUUUCAAAGUAAAUGUACAUUGGCUAUCAGAACCAGAAUAUUGUUCUACCUCUGAAGCAAAUGUACUCUAAAGUGCUAUAUGUUAUAAAAGGUAAAGGUAAAAAAGGUAAAGGACCCCUGAAUGGUUAAGUUUAGUCAAAGGGAAUUAUGGGGUUGUGUCGCUCAUCUUGCUUUCAGGCCGAGGGAGCCGGUAUUUGUCCGCAGACAGCUUUCUGGGUCAUGUGGCCAGCAUGACUAAAACACUUCUGGCACAACGGAACACCGUGAUGCAAACCAGAGCACAUGGAAAUGCUGUUUACCUUCCUGCCACAGCAGCGGUACCUAUUCAUCUACUCACACUGGUAUACUUUCAAACUGCUAGGUUGGCAGGAGCUGGGCUAGAGCAACAGGAGCUCACCCCGUCACAGGGAUUCGAAACGCCAACCUUCUGAUCGGCAAACCCAAGAGGCUCAGUGGUUUAGACCACAGCGCCACCCGCAUCUCAAGAAUAUGUCAUACAAUAGUUUGAGCACUGAUGUGGCUUCAGAAAGCACUUCGCUCUGUUCUGGUUAAAACCCUGUGCUCAUUUAUGUCCCAAUGAACCUACAUUUCACUAAACAUAUAUAAGAUUAGGCUCAGAGGCAAGGAGCCAUAUCAGCACACACAUCCUGAAAAAAAAUAUCACUUUACUGCACCCCUUUGUGCCGUGGUGCGAGAAGGACUGGAAGUUUCUCCUGCGUUUGCCCUGGCCACGACAGCAGCAUCACGGCACCACAAACAUAUACAUCAUAUUCUCCAUAGUCUGACAGGUGAUUUUUGUGGCCCCUCCCUGAGCUGUGCCCACAGCGGGGGCCUACUUUGCCAUCCCCUAGGAGCAGCUCUGAUUUCAGUUUUAUUUCCAACAUUCCACCUAGCUUCAGGGUUAUAGACAAGUAUGAUUGCUGACACCUGUUGGUUAGAAAAAUAUAAUCUGGGUAGCAGAAAGCCAUCUGAUAGGUGAAAUGUAUUUACAGAAAAUGGUGAUUUAAUGGAUCAGUUCAUCCUGAGUAUCUUUCCAAUUUUGCUGUGAUAUGCUACCAUCCAUCACCAGGAACGUCGCUUCUUACAAAAGCAUGUUUCCUUAUGUAAUCCCUUUGAAAGGAGAUCACAGUCCAGAAAGAUUCCGCUGAAAAAGAAUUUGCCAAGGUAGGGCAUUUAAGUCUGAGGGGCAGAUGGUAGGGACACUGGAUAUGAAGACAAAACAAGAGAGAGAACACUAAAGCUUCCUUAUACAAUGAAGUUGUAUUCAGAGUAGACUCCCUGAAAUUAAUGGACACAGCUACUGCCUGAAAGCUCAGCUCCAGAGGCUUAGACUUUUACAGUGCAGCAUAGAGUGGUCAUGUCUCAUGCUUUAUAGAGGACAGUCCUCUAUUUGAGGAGCUGUCUGAUCCAAGUCUGGUUUAAAGAUUAAGAACCAUAAAAAGGGAAAGCAAGGGCCUUCAGGUUUGGCACGUGGAGAGCAGACUGAGCAGGCACACAGUCUUGUUCCCCACUUUGAUGAGGUAAAUUGUAUUUCUAUUUAUUGAUUUCUAAAUUUGUGUAUAUAUCCUGCUAUAUAUAUUUGCUCUAAAUGCCAUCAGUCUGUAGUUUCAGUGGUCACAGAUGGUGAUGUGAACUAUGGCAUGAUGAGAGGUGGUGCUCAUGCAGUGGGGGGAAGUUAGCAGAAUAAAUUGGGAGGCACCACCCCUAAUAUAUACAUAUACACACUGUAUGCAAAUCAGCGUCUUCUUCUGUCCUUUUCCAUUGGUGCCUUUUCUCUUUUUAAGCAGUGCUGAAGUAGCCACUCUAUUGCCGCUUGUCAAGUGUACAAGUGGAAGUUGCACAAUCUAAGUGACCCAUGCAGUUUUCUCUUUGCACGUGUUAUGGAGCUCUGAUUGUUUAGUAGUGGGUUUUGAGUGGCAAGUAUGUUAACCUUUGAAUUGGGACACAGUAUUUUCACUUUUGUAGCCAAAUGUCAAGCUAUAUUACAUGGCCCAAGUGGCGGGGAAAUGGACAUUCAUUUUCAAUCAAAGCUGUUUCUCAUGGCAGUGUCAAAAUGAAAAUUAGAUUUUUUUGUGGGAAGCAAAUUAAUAGUACAGUAGAGCAUUAUAAACAUCUAAAUGUCAUUUUGGGUACACACAGACAUGCCACUGCAAUCUUAUUUUUCCCUAGUGUAGCUCUUCUUUUAUCUUCUUCAACAGUAGUUUAAUUUACCUCAGGGUUUUUUUUCCCCUCAGGAUUUCUGGGUCUAUCUUUUGCUGUUAUUCUGUUCAACCAUUUCUCUCUUGCUGCACUUUCUGAAGAAAUGUAAUCAAUCCACAAAUCAUUAUUUUAUUGCUCUAUAAUUAAUAAUUUGAUUUAUUUUUUGGCAUAUUAUGACCCUUUUGUAUUUCAAAAGAACUUGCCUGGAUUCGCAGUCAAUUAAUUCUCUCCAACAAGUCAAUAAUAAUAAUUUUUCUAUGAUAAUAGUUAAAAAAUGACCCAAACUCAGAGGAAUGAAUGGCAGGGGCUUAUCUAACUCUUCUAUCAUGAUUUCUUUGUGUCAUGUUAUGGCGUAGACAAUAACAAAGUCAAAAGAUCUCUAUACUGGAAAUCCAAAUGCACACAGUUCUCUAAGAGCCAGCUACCUUUUGGGUAGCUACAGAGGGGGUGGGGAGGACCUGUGGUCUUUCAGAUGUUGUUGCAGUCCAACCCCUAGUAGUCCUGUUCAGUGUGCCCAAUGGUCAGGGAAGAUGGGAGUUGUGGUCCAGCAACAUGGAGCUGAAGGAGCAUCCCUCAGCUGCAGCCAUUUCCAGAAUCUGACUUUCUCCCUGCUUGAAUCAGAUGAUAGUCGCCGCAAAGUAGUACAGUGGUACCUCGGGUUACAGACGCUUCAGGUUACAUACGCUUCAGGUUACAGAAUCCGCUAACCGAGAAAUAGUACCUCAGGUUAAGAACUUUGCUUCAGGGUGAGAACAGAAAUCAUGCGGCGGCGGCAGCGGGAGGCCCCAUUAGCUAAAGUGGUACCUCAGGUUAAGAACAGUUUCAGGUUAAGAAUGGACCUCCAGAACAAAUAAAGUUCUUAACCCGAGGUACCACUGUACUUGAUAUGACCCAAACACUUCUUCAUCUCUCUGUCUUAAACAAGAGCUGCAUUAACGAAGUGCGCAUUUCAUUCUGCUUUUAGUUUAUUGUUGGUUUUAGUUAUUUCUUAGAUGUUUUAAAUAGUGGCUUUUAACUGUUUUGACAGAUAAUUUUAUUGUUUCAUUCCUUUUGCAGACCCGUUUGGGAUAUUAUUAUUAUUAUUAUUAUUAUUAUUAUUAUUAUUAUUAUUAUUAUUUUACCAUCAGGCAGCAUGCAAGUUUCAUGAAACAAGUUAAAUAAAUAAAAGCAGACCGGGUGGCUAUCAGUGCUGAACUUAAAGCAUCUUUAAAAAAGUGACAGCUGUCUCUGUGAGGACUCAUGUAUCAGUGACAUAAUUAGAUGAGAGGAAUUGGAGGUUGCCUCCCUUUCUCUCACAAACACAUUUUCCAUCUUUUAAAGCAGAAGUAAUUUUGGGAGCACUUUCACAUACCUUUGCUUUGUAAGAUGGGACGCUUUAACAGGGCAGGUGUUUUAUCAGUACCUCAGUGUAACAAAGAGUUGAAAAUGGUUAAUUAAUAGUUAGUUAAUUAGUCUUGUGUCUUUAUUUAUCCUGGUGGGGGGCGGGAACUCGCCACGCAAACAGUACAUCAGACCCUCCAAGUGUCCCUAUUUUCCAGGGACAGUCCCAGAUUUACAAAAGCUGUCGCGGUUUCUGAUUUGAUCCCGGAAUGUCCCACUUUCCUUAGGAUGUCCCUGUUUUCAUUGGAGGGUACGGAGUUAUGUGAUGCAAGGAAAUAAGUAACUAUACAACCUUUAGAAGACAUCUGAAGGCAGCCCUGUAUAGGGAAGGGUUGUUUUAACGUUUAAUGUUUAUUAUUAUUUGUAUAUGUUGGAAGCCUCCCAGAGGGGCUGGGGCAACCCAGUCAGGGUAGGGUAUAAAUAAUAAAAUUAUUACUAUUAUUAUUGACUAGGGUGUCCCUAUUUUCAUCACAGAAAUGUUGGUGGGUAUGGUACAUUGGUGCUGUGAAGAAAACUGCAAAGGGAGUUUUACUGGGAGAUGUUGUCUUCCCGGAGAAUGGGCAGUGUGCUAAUGUACACUGCUGAAAUCCUUGCCCACUUCUGCUGCUGCCCCCCUGCAAGGAAACAAGCUAUGGUCUACCCUGCUUUGUCAUCCAAACCUGGUCUUGUGGUUCCUUUUUUCCUCUUUCACAUCUUGUGCUUUGUUCAGGUUCAGGCAAGGUAAGCAGCCAGACCAUGGUUUGCAGGACAGCACAGCAGCAGCUGCAGGAGUUGGAGAGGAGCAAAGCACCCACAAUUUCACAUCAAACCAUAGUUUAUUUUAGCUACAGUUUAAUGUGAUGUGCAAACCAGGCCACUGGCUGUAUGUGUCUGAUCAAUUUACCAGUUCCUCAAAGUGUGGUAUGCUCAAAAGAAAUACAUGUUUCUUUUUGGGGGGGGGGGAUAAACCUUCUCACCUCCCCCGACCCAAGUAAAGAAAGCAGGAUUGGGUAAUACACAAAUAAUUUGCCUCCAGCAACAAUGCCAGAUGAGGCACAUAUUCAAGUGGAGAACAAAUGGCUUAAAGCUUUCUUGCUUGAUAAAUGAUGUAAAACUCCUUUUGUUUUCCAUAGUGUUAUCUACCUUCUCAGUGCCAAACCAGAGUUUAACAAAAGGGAUGGGAGCACUAUGUAAUAUCUGAAAAUCCUUCUUUUGCUGCUCAGUGAUAAUGGCUCCUGGAUACAUUCAUUAAAGGAGUCUGCAACAGACAGUACUUGAUGGAAUCAAAUGCUCAUCCUGGCCCAGAGAUACACUUCACCUAAAAGUAUAAAUUAGCAAGGCGUGCUUUGAGUUUGACGCCAAAUCCAUUGUCUGUGCACACAAAUCUCUUCCAGUUAGCCAACAAAAGAAAUGGUUCCAGUCGCUAAUUGCAGAUUACUGCAAGUAGCAACAUUUUCCAGAGCUAUUGUUCUACAGCCAAUAUUUAUAUCUUACAAUUUGAAUUUUUCUGUUGCGCAGUGAAGGGAUUUCAAUACAAAGGCUGUUGGAAGCAGCCUGUGACUAUGUGCUGAUAAUGGUGGCGAAGAAAAAUUACUUUUCUGUGGUGGGCUGUGGCUGGCUGAGCCCUCUUAUUAGAACAAAAGAGUCUAGCUAGAUCAGACCAAGAGUUCAUCUUGUCUAGUAUUGUGUUUUCCACAAUGACCAGCUGGUUGCUUUUUUGAGGCAGGGGUGGUGGCUGUAGUCUUCCCCUGUGCUUAUCCCAAAUUUUGCUUUUGGUACUUCAAUAGGUAUGUUGGAGAAUUCCAAUGACCACAGAAGUGGGAGCAAACAUUGCCGAUAAUAUUUCCUUAUUCAUCCUCUGUCUGGAAUGGAAAUCAAUCCAGUCAAUGCAAUGAGUAUUUGCUGUUGUUGCUGCUUUCAGUCAGCAAACGACACACAACUAAUUAUUACCCCCCUCAUUUGCACUGGGUUUCCUUUGCUCUGAAAUGAAUGGGGUGGAGUAACAUAAUGACAAUGCCGUUACAUAAUUUAAACAAUUAAUUACAGAAGUUAUGCAGCUGCCACACUGGACAGCAAGACAAAAAAUCAUGUUUUAGGCAGAAGACGAAUUGCAGCAGAACAGAAUCAGUGCUGUGUUCAAUGAACAAAGGGCAAAGCAGAAUAAAGUGCCUUCUUACAUCCCAGUCCCUGAUAUACACCAACACCAUUUGUAACUUUCUGUUUUUGAACUGUCAAAUUGUUAUAACCCCCUCCAAUAAGAAAUCCUAUACAGUGGUACCUCGGGUUAAGUACUUAAUUCGUUCCGGAGGUCCGUUCUUAACCUGAAACUGUUCUUAACCUGAAGCACCACUUUAGCUAAUGGGGCCUCCUGCUCCUGCCGCAGCACGAUUUCUGUUCUCAUCCUGAAGCAAAGUUCUUAACCCAAGGUAAUAUUCCUGGGUUAGCGGAGUCUGUAACCUGAAGUGUGUGUAACCUGAAGCAUCUGUAACCUGAGGUACCACUGUAAACGCGACAAACACCUGAUCUUUCCUAUAACGAAUAACAGCAGAUAGUAUCUUUCCUAUGACUCCAUGAAUGUGCGUAAUCCUCUUCAAGGAUCUGUGGCCAUGAUAACAUCUUGUGGCAAUGAGUUUCUUUUUAAAAGUUCUUUCCUUCCAAUGAGGCUGUCAGUAUUCCAGAUGUCUCUCCCCUGCCAAGAAUGAGGCAAGCUGACGGUUUAAUUGCACUUAGAUUUAUUAGUAUUUAUGCAGUAGUUACAUGCCAAGCACACAGUUCUAGUCCUCCUGGGAAGAAGUUGACCCGACUGAAGGGCGGGCUCUUUGCCAACAGGAUAUCCUCCAUCGGGCGACCUGCCUCCUGUUGGCCUGAUGCCAAGCCUGGGCUCUGCCCCUUCUGCAAGCCUGUGGGGACUCCCCCCUCCCUCGAAUCAGUCUCCACCCUCCUCAGAGUGAUGUCUAAAGGCUGAAGUUCCUCUGAAGCCUGGCCUGUCUCCGUCUGACCUACACUAUCUUGGGACUUUACAGCCUGCAUUCCUGGAUGGGAUGGGAAGGAAUCAAGCCUCUAUUUUCCCCAGUCUGCCACCCCUCCCCCUCAGAGUCCUCACUGUUGCUCUGGGAGAGGCUGGGCAAGACCUCAAUUCAAAUCCCCACUCCUCUAGAAGCUCAUUGGCUGACUUUGAGCCAACCACUGUCAGGGACUGGGCAGAGGAGGAACGGUGGAGACCGCCUCCCCAGCUUGACCCUUCCAGGGAGGAGGAAAAAGAAGAUGGUUCAGAAUUACAACAAGGGGUUUGAGGGAGGUCACAGCUCAGAGGCAGAUGAUGGGGGAAGUUGGGAAAUAAUGGGAGAGGAGGAGGAGGAGGAAGAAGAAGCACCAUGGGGGGCAACAGCUGAUGGACACUGUGUCUUUAGAAAGCAUUCCAGAUCACACACUCCUCUCCCAGAACCCAGCGAGCCUUGAAAGUAGGAGAGCAAAGAACUCAAAGACAGAGGGCAUGUAGCAGCACCCGUAGGAGAGACGAUGAGAUUGACAAACGAGGAAGUGAGAGAGACUGGGGGGAGGUGGAGAUUCACUUGGGACAAUGCCGUUAUCCAAGAGCCUGGGUUCUAUAGCCUCUAUUUGUAAAUACUGAAUAAAAAGUGGAAGGUAAGAAACAUUUCCUUGUCUUUGUAGGUUCCUGGGCUGGGAGUCGCAGGCAGCAGCCUGACGGCCACCAUUCUUGCAAGGAUGUUGUGAUAAGGGCGAGGAGGCCACAGUGACUGCCUUGAGCUCCACAGAGGAAGGGAAGGAUAAAUAAGCCAUAAAGAAUAACCCUGCUAGUUCCCUGUGAGUGGUUGCCAAGGUAACUGAGGAAGGAUAUGUGCAUGUAUAAACAUCAAGGGGUCCUAUAUAUUAGAUAUCCAUGCUCAAGUCACAUAUCCCUUUGUUGAGUUGAGAGCAUCACGGCACAGUUAUUACGAAGUUUUCUUUAAAAAAAAAAACAACAAAAAACCAAACCUAUCAAACUUUAUUAUGCAGUCAUGGCUUGUUAAUAAAAAUAAUAAUAAUAAAAGCCACUCUAAAAAUAUGAAUUCAUUGAGGGCUUUUUUCAGUUUAAUUUCGCCUUUAUCCAUGUGGAGCUCUUUUGAAUCUUAACCCUCUUCUCAGGAUCCUAAAUUGAUGCUCCUAUCUUUUUAAAGGUCAUCUUCUCUUAUUGUAAUUAGUUUCCCAGACUUCUCUGCCAGACUUUCUUCUCCCUGUGGAUAUAGGACAACGCGACCAGUUCCCUUGCACUGGGCACUGGGCCUAGGGGGCGCUGCAGGGCAUCACAACUAUGAUGUAGUGAACUGAGCAAAUGGAAGGUGAGGGGCAGGAGGCCCCGAAAUUUGGCCUCACACAGGACCAAAUUGAAAUUUGAAAGACCAACGUCUGCCCCUGCCUUCCCUCAACCAUCUCUCACACACACUCUCCUGAAUCCUUGGGGACACACUCCCUGUCCCUUCCAUUCUCUCAAGCUCUAUUCCCCUUCAUUUUUAGUUUUCCUCCCUCUUGCAUGAUACUAGAACUCAUGGAGGUCGAACAAAGCUGAACACUGGAAGAUUCAAGAGAGAUGAAAUGAAGUACCUCUUCACACAGGGCAUAGUUAACCCUUGGAACUCGCUCUCACAGAAGACAGUGGUGGCCUCCAAGUUGGAUGGCUUUAAAAUUGAAAUACUUUAUUGUCACUUGUACAACUUGUAUACAGUGAGAUUACAUGAGCACCACCCCCCCACUCAGCUCUCUUAGUCUUAAUUCCCCUCGUUUACUGACGCACACCCACCAAACCCGAAAGUCAGUUGCCCUGUUGUUAUCUUUUCCUUCAGCAGCCUAACAGCCCAUGGAUAGAAGCUGUUCUUUACCCUGUUGGUGCAACUAAUCAUGCUUCUGUAUCUUCUGCCCGAGGGCAGGAGAUCAAGAAAGUGCCGGCCAGGGUGUGAAUCAUCCCUGAGAAUUUUCCUCACUCUCCUGAGGCAACGUUCUUCCACUAUUUCAUCCAGCGGAUUCACAGGACAGCCCAUAAUAUCUUGUGCUGUAUUCACCACCCUCUGUAGGCACUUCCUAUCAGAUGAUGUCAAACCAGCGUACCACACCGGGAUGCAGUAUGAAAGGACACUUUCUAUUGUUGACCAGUAAAGGUGAUCAUCAAAUGUUGAUUGACAUUGUUCUUCCGCAAUACUCUGAGGAGAUGGAGUCUCUGUUGGGCUUUCUUAAAAGAGGAUUAGACAAAUUCAUGGAGGAGAGAUCAAUUGAUGGCUGCUAGCCAUGAUGCCUAUGCUCUGUGUCCACAGCAGGAGGCAGCAAUGCUUCUGAAUACCAGUUGCUGGAAACCAAAGGAGGAGAGAGUCCUCUUGUACUUGGGGUCCUGCUGGCAGGCAUUUGGUCGGCCACUGUGAGUACAGGAUGCUGGACUAAAUGGACCUGAUCCAGAGUUUGACCUCCAUAUCCUAACACAUUCUCCCCCUCUCAUUUUCACCAAGUUUGUAUAUUAUCUCCCAAGUGAAUUCCCCCAGAUUAUGACACUUUCUUCAUAUUUGUGGUUGCAUCUUAUUAUAUAACACACUCCUAGAAACAGAAUAAAAUUAAAAUCUAACCUCAUCCUAAUAUCUUUAUUAAAACAAAAACAAAUUUAUUUUCUAUUAUGAAUGGCAAGUCUAUUGUUUCUCCCCCUUUCUUGCAUUAAUAGCCUGGAAGUGGUUUUAACCCAGAAUGUUCUGAACUGCCCUACAGGUCUUUGCAAUUGCCAACUCCUGCAAUUUCUUCCUUUGGAAUUUCUUAAAAGCUCAUGUUUUCCUGUACCUGCUUCUGCGCUCCCUGAUUCCCAUCAUACUUGAAUUGAAUUUUAUUAUUACGGUCACAGACCAGUUCCGGCUCACUUACAAUAUCAGGAAAAUCAUAAAACACAACAGGAAUACACCAUCCUCCUAUUAGACUCACACUAUUCAUUUCACUUCCACUCCCUAUUUUAAGUGAAAGCUUUGUGUACACCUUUGCAGAAGCCUCACAUAAUCCUGAUCCUGAUUAGACGUAGCACUGCUUCAGUAUGGGAAUGCUCCCAGUAGUAUUUGUUCACUUUCUUUCAGUUUUUAAAUAACUAGCAAAUCCGAAGGUCUUCAAGAGAUGGAUGGCCAGCCUAUUAGCUAGGAAACACCAGUUUCUGUGGCCUACAAUGCAAGGGGUCGAUGAGGCAGAUGACAGAUGAUUGGCAAACAGGAGGGAGCCUUUCUGUAGAAGAGAAUGAAUGAGACUUGAACUCACAUCAUUAAGGGCUUACAAUCCUCCCUUAUAUCCCAGAAUCUGGUCCAUUAGGCUGGGAAAUCAAAGGCAGUCAGAUGUGAAAUGGCUUCAUGAUACCUUUUGGCUAGGGGUGUGCGUAUUAUGACAGGAUGGCAACAGUGCCUAUGUUCUCUUUCUUUUUGCACUUGCUUUCCCUUCAAGCAAACGUGUUUGGAAAUUGGGUAUUCAUCUUUUGUAGCUGUCGGUUCCACCACCCCACUCCCUGUACCUUUUGAUUUUGCUGUCAGACGAGAGACCGGCAUCGCCGCUGCCGAUCUAAAAGCACCCAGAAAGAUAAAUAAUGAAGUUCUAAUUACAAAACACUUUGAAAUGUUUUUGGCAGCAGCAAACUCGGCUAUGCUGACUGUUCUCUAUUAUUGCAGAUAUUCCAUGUAUAGCGUUGAGAUCCCACUGAGAUGAACGACACAUCUCUAAUUGGUUUUAAUGGUUGGGGAUUGGAGUUCUACGGGCUGCCGUCCAGAACACUGUGAUGGCAUAUGAGCCGCGCAUAAUGGCAGGUAAUUCCAUUAUCUCCAUGGAACUGUUUGCAAGAAGAGUACGCCUUAUCAAACUGGACUGUGGGCGUCUCAUAUAUUAUUUCUGACACAUUGGUAUCAUGCCAAUCUUCUGUGGAGUUCAAGGCUGAUCCCACUUUAUCGCAAUGGACCCAUGAGGUAGAUUAGUUGAGAGAUUGUGGCCGUGCUCAGGGAUCAUGCUCUCUAAUCCUCCAAUCUAUAGUCUGGAUUAUUUGAGAUGCAACUCCUUCUCCUGGCACACUCGAAGUAGAGCAGAACACUUCCUGCUUUGUUUGCUGUGACUGGGAAAAUUUGAUACGAGUGAUCCUUCUGAAACAGGAUGCAAAUUGUGUUUUGAUCAGGAAUUCUCUAUUGAGCAGGGCAUGCAAGGGGAAGGGGAUGGAAAAAGUGGGGAAAGGGCGCACACACACAAACAUGCCUUAUUCCCAAUCCUUCAUCCAUGGUUGGAUGGGGAACUUGUGAAGUUGCUGGACUCCAACUCCCAUCAGCCCCAGCUAGCAUAGCCAGUGCUGGAUUUACAUAUAAGCUAAACAAGCUAUAGCUUAGGGUCCCACUCUCUUGGGGCCCCCCCAAAAAAUGCAAAGGAAAAAAACUGGAUGUACAUUUCCAGAAUAUAAAAUAAAAAACAAAAUAAAAACCCCUACAUGCAGCAACAGUGUUUUGUGAUGUGGAGGCUCCUAUGAUGUAAGUAACGGGCCUUGCCUGCUAGCCUGCUCCCUAAAAUAUCACUGGUUUGCUCAUUUCUGUAUAUAGGGUGCCUACAUUCUGCAUGUGCUAAUGGCUUUUGAUACCUAUUAGGUCCAUAAAUUACCAUAUAGCAUAUAUUCAACACAAAAAACAGCGACAAUUUGUUGUUGACAAAGGACAGCUGGACGUAUAAAGGGCCCCAUUACCUUCAGUAGCUUAGGGCCUCAUCAAACCUACAUAAAUCCGGCCCCUUGUUUGGAAAACAAGAGAAUGUGAUAUCUGAGUACAGUCAGUGACUUGCCCAAGGCCACACAUGGCUGAGCAGGGAUUUGAACCUCAGUCACCUAAUCCAAAUCCACUUCUCUAUCCAGUACACAUUGGUUCUUUUCCGCUUCACAGUGCUUGUUAAACACAGGAGGAAGGCAGGUAUAAUCACAGUCAUUCACACCAUGGCAUGAGACUGGGUUCCUCUUGGCUUCACAGUUUGCAUGGCGGAUGUGCAUUCUAUCAUGAUGGACACUGGCCUUUGUUCCUUUUCAAACAGACUGUCCACCUCUUAAAUUUAUCUGUAUGUGUAUUCAGAAACAUCAUUGAAAAAAUGCUUUGGCGUAUGUGUGUUUUGAGCGAAGAGGAGUAUUGGUGGAGACUGGCCAUUUGGUGCCACCCACAACUGUUUUUUGCUGCAAACCUGCAGUUCCAUUUACUGCCACCCGCACUCCCCAUCUCAGCCUUGGAAAGAAAAGGUCAGCAAAGUGAUUGCAAUUAUAAAGGAACAGGAGAUGUGCCAAAUGCCUAUCAUUGCUUUUUGUAGCUUGCCUCUUUGGUGAACUUUAGAUAUGUAAAGGUGAAGCUUUUAGUUGGGGGAUUAUGAAACUCUCACAUCACAGGUGGGGAGGGGCGAGGACUUGGAGGAAUCCACUGCUUUGAUUUAAUAUUCUGUUGCAUCCUGUUAUAUCUAAUUAACUCCCCAAAUUCAUCUAGAUGCAGGUACAUGCAUCACAGCAGGUUCGAUGUGACAACAUUGGAGAUGACAAGAUGCUCCCCUUUGAAAUGAUGAGAUGCUUUUAGGCCGAAAGCUGGGAGCUGCAAAUGGCUUUAAUGACCUGUGAAAAAGGCAGGAUCUGGGAUGCACUUUAAAAAAACAACAGCACCAAGCGCCUCUAAGAGGCAAAGAAGGUCCUGCCAUUGUCUGUUGACCAAAUGCAUCUACAUUUGCUAUGCCUAAUCAGUUCUUUUCCCUUUUUAUCUUUGGGUUCUCUCCAUGUGCAAACUAGUCACUAGCCAAUUUGAAGAGAAAAAGAAUCAGCCGCAGAGCAGAAGACAUUAGGAUUGCCUGCAUGUAUAUAUAUAUUCAGAGCAUUUACGCAGCCUUUCUGUAAAAGGGACUUUCUACAGGAGCCCAGAUUGUAUAUUCAACAACUGUUCAAGGACAAGGCUACAGCAAGCAAUUACUGAAAGUAAGCAACAUGAGCGGCAGGCGGGGAGAAUUAUACCACCUUUCCCUGAUGCUCUUCCAAACUGCUGUUUAGAAUGUCAAUAAACCCUAUUAGCUCUGUUCCCCAAAAUUCCUCUCCCAAGCAUUUUAUAAAUGUAAUGGGCAGCAAGGUGAGAAAAUUGUACGUCUGCUAUCUUGGCCACUUAAUGCAGCCGUUCAGUGGCCAGUCAGAUUAUCAUGGAUGUGACAAGACUGCACUCCACUUUCCAGCUUCUGCAAAAUGGGAGCCCCUACUGGCAAUGCCAGCCUGUUUCCUUCAGGUUACUGUGGGAGACUGCUAAUGUAUUCUGCUGUACGGAUGCAGCAUUUAGAUGGCAAUCCUUAAAGGGACUGUCAAGAAAUAAUCCUCAGGUUCUGAAACAGGCUGCUUUUCCCUGUGGAUAUUUUAAUAGUGGCUCAAGAGUUUUCUUUCUGCUGGUGGACGUGUGUUUGCCAUCUAUUUUUGCUUCUUUGUGCACGAACUGGCCAUCGCCCCAAACUUGGAUUUUUAAUGCUUUUAAGGCAAAUUGGAGUUUCCACUUGCAAUAUUAACAAUCAAGCAUGUUAGCAAGGAAUAUAAGGGCGGAGAUGCAAUUAAAAGAAUUAAGGUAGGUAAUAAAGCCUACAAAUUGAAAGCGUUCACAGAUGACUUGGUUAUCAUGGUGGAAGAUCCAAUAGAUUCUUUGUCGGAAGUAUUAAGGAAAAUAAAAGAUUUUGGUCUAGUAUCAGGUUUUAAAUUAAAUAAAGGUAAAACCAAACUUAUAGUUAAAAAUGUUCCAGAACAAGAUAAAAUACAGAUAGAAGAGAAGACAGGUAUAAGUAGUCACAAAAAAGUGAAAUAUUUAGGGAUUUGGUUAACAGCUAAAAAUAUAAAUAUAAUUAAAGACAAUUAUGAAAAAAUAUGGAAGGACAUAAAGAGGAACCUAGAAAUUUGGGAAAGAAUGAAUAUGUAAUUAAUAGGAAGAGUAUCAGUUAUUAAAAUGAACAUAUUGCCAAAAAUGUUAUUUUUAUUUCAAUCAAUACCAGCGAUCAGCAAUAUGAAAUGCUUCAAAGAAUGGCAAAGAGAUAUUUCAAGAUUUAUCUGGAGAGGGAAGAAGCGAAGAAUAAAACAUAAAUUGUUAACAGAUACCAAAGACAGAGGAUGUUUCUCCCUUCCAGAUCUAAAACUAUAUUAUGAAGCAUCUUGCAUUUGUUGGAUCCAGCAACGGAUAUGUCUAAAAAACACAGAUCUAUUGGAUCUGGAAGGACACGACAACAGAUUUGGAUGGCAUGCAUAUCUAUGGUACCAAAAGACUAAAGUACAUAAGAGUUUUCAUAAGCAUAUUAUAAGAUAUGCAAUAUUUAAAGUCUUGGAGAAAUAUAAGGACUUAUUAGAACAAAAAAACACCUUGGUGGAUUUUACCAAUGGAAGUAAUCUCAGUAAAAAAACAAAUAUGAGAUAAAAAUGGAUAACAUAUAGAGAAUUAUUAAUUGAAGUAGAGAACAAAUUAAAGUUGAAAGAUUAUAAUGAAGAAAAAGGAGAAGUAAGUGAUUGGUUACAACACUUCCAGAUAAAUGAAUUAUUUAAAAAAGACAAAAAAGAAAAAGGAUUUGAGGUCUGUUACGCAAGCUGUGAAGACUCUGAGGAUCCCUAAGUGUGCCGAUGUCUGUGGCCACCAGGCGCUGUGAUUUUCGGGCUGAAGAAAGCUAAUGAAGCUCCCGAACGAUCCACCAGGAGGGAGAGAACAUGCCAGUCGGGCAUGCGUCUCUGCCAGGAUCCUACUUGAGUGUAGGCUGAGCUCCUGACAAGGAGAACCCUAUGCUCCUCACAGAGCUACAGUUUCUAGAGUGGCUUAACAACCAACCCAUCUUCCCAAUGCACUCCAGGAACAGGGGCAUAUGGUCUCCUAACAACUCUGAGCACCCGCUCAAGGAAUCUUUGGCGGAAGCCAUGAUUGUUAAAGUUGUAAAAUAGUGCUUUAAAUGUAUGGUUUGGGCAAGACCUUGAUGUGUGAUGGGAGGCAGUAGCCUUGCAUGUAGGAGUCACUGGAGAAGACUCAGAAGCGUUUACCACAAACGACAGAACAUCUACCAUACACUCACAGUAUUAUGCAGACAGCUCCACAUAUUUUGAUUGCUAUGAGAAUCACUGUUGAUGUGUGGGCAGCACACACAAUAUAAAUAUAUCUAUAAGCAAUACACAAAUAAAUUAAAAAUCUGAUUGGGCCAGGUUUUCCAGACACACACAUGAAUUUGCAAUGGCCACAUCUUAUGUGUUUGCUGCUGGAAGUCCUGUUACAAUACCACUGUUUCUCUCAGCAAGAAUUACAUUAGUGUUUUCCCUAAAUGGGUGCAUAUGGGUGUGUAAAGAUGCAUAUAAAAUCCAAGUAUAUAUAAUGCCCACGUUGCAUGUUUGCUGUAAUAUAGUAUUGGUGUUUCCUGCCACAAUCGUGGUGUGUGCAGUUGCCUUAAUAGAGCCAUCAAUCUUGUCAUUUAACCUUCACACACCCAUUUCCCAGUUGCUUUGAUACAGCAAACCACUUCCUACAGUAAACCACUGCAGGAAGCCUUCCUCUGUUUGCAAGAUCUCCAGUGCUCAUUUUCUUUGCACAUGGUGGGCUUUCUAGGGAUGAAAUGGGAGAACCCCAGACAGACAGCUUUUAAAAGAACUGAAUAUUGUAACCGUAACUGGGCUCCCAUUGAUAUUUGCUCAGGGCACCUCAGUGGAUUUCAUUUGCUGAAUCAGCACUCUGAAUGAUGUGCACUUUGAAAGCCAAGCAUUAGUCUCUUCCUAAUUGCUAACCCCAUUUGAGUGUUUCAAGGUGCAGGAGAUGACCUUUCUCCUUUCCUUUUCUGAGUUUUGAGAUUACAGGUUUCUCCGUUACAAAACAAGCUCUUGUGUACUAAACCCUGAGUUCCUUUGACAAGAUAA